UACGUAGGGACCGAGCGUUGUCCGGAAUCAUUGGGCGUAAAGAGCUCGUAGGCGGUUUGUCGCGUCGACCGUGAAAACUUGUGGCUCAACCACAAGCUGGCGGUCGAUACGGGCAGGCUGGAGUUCGGUAGGGGAGACUGGAAUUCCUGGUGUAGCGGUGAAAUGCGCAGAUAUCAGGAGGAACACCGGUGGCGAAGGCGGCUCACUGGACCGGUAUUGACGCUGAGGUGCGAAAGCGUGGGGAGCAAACAGG
rnacentral:rRNA from 1 species